rnacentral:rRNA from 1 species
GUGGGGAAUCUUAGACAAUGGGCGCAAGCCUGAUCUAGCCAUGCCGCGUGAGCGAUGAAGGCCUUAGGGUUGUAAAGCUCUUUCAGUGGGGACGAUAAUGACGGUACCCACAGAAGAAGCCCCGGCUAACUUCGUGCCAGCAGCCGCGGUAAUACGAAGGGGGCUAGCGUUGUUCGGAUUUACUGGGCGUAAAGCGCACGUAGGCGGAUCGUUAAGUCGGGGGUGAAAUCCUGGAGCUCAACUCCAGAACUGCCUUCGAUACUGGCGAUCUUGAGUCCGGAAGAGGUGAGUGGAACUCCUAGUGUAGAGGUGGAAUUCGUAGAUAUUAGGAAGAACACCAGUGGCGAAGGCGGCUCACUGGUCCGGUACUGACGCUGAGGUGCGAAAGCGUGGGGAGCAAACAGGAUUAGAUACCCCGGUAGUCC